GAUGAAGAACGUAGCGAAAUGCGAUAAGUAAUGUGAAUUGCAGAAUUCAGUGAAUCAUCGAAUCUUUGAACGCACAUUGCGCCCUCUGGUAUUCCGGGGGGCAUGCCUGUUCGAGCGUCAUUAUAACCACUCAAGCUCUCGCUUGGUAUUGGGGUUCGCGGUUCCGCGGCCCCUAAAAUCAGUGGCGGUGCCUGUCGGCUCUACGCGUAGUAAUACUCCUCGCGAUUGAGUCCGGUAGGUCUACUUGCCAGCAACCCCCAAUUUUUACAGGUUGACCUCGGACCAGGUAGGGAUACCCGCUGAACUUAAGCAUAUCAAUAAGCGGAGGA
rnacentral:misc_RNA from 1 species